rnacentral:misc_RNA from 1 species
UGGCUCUGGCAUCGAUGAAGAACGCAGCGAAAUGCGAUAAGUAAUGUGAAUUGCAGAAUUCAGUGAAUCAUCGAAUCUUUGAACGCACAUUGCGCCCGCCAGUAUUCUGGCGGGCAUGCCUGUCCGAGCGUCAUUAACAACCCUCAGGCCCCUCGGGGCCUGGCGUUGGGGACCGGCGGAGCCCUCUGGGGCACACGCCGCCCCCUAAAUCUAUUGGCGGUCUCGCUGCAGCCCACUGCGUAGUAGCUAACACCUCGCAACUGGAAAGCGGCGCGGCCAUGCCGUAAAACACCCAACUUUUAUGAUGUUGACCUCGGAUCAGGUAGGAAUACCCGCUGA